rnacentral:rRNA from 1 species
AAAGGAAUAACCAGUGGGAAACUCUGGCUGAAUACCGCAUAAGCCUGAGAAGGGAAAGCAGCAAUGCUGCUGAGAGAGGAGCGCCCGCGGCCGAUUAGCUAGUUGGUGGAUAAGAGCCCACUCAAGGCAGAGGCAUCGGUAGCCGGCCUGAGAGGGCACACGGCCACACUGGCACUUGAAACACGGCGGCCAGACUCCUACGGGAGGCAGCAGUGGGGAAUCUUGCACAUAUGGGGGGCAAACCCUGAUGCAGCGACGCCGCGUGAGCGAUGAAGCCCUUCGGGUGUGUGACAAGCUCUUUCGUCAGGGACGAUAAUGACGGUACCUGGAGAAGCAGCUUGCGGCGCUAACUACGUGCCAG